UAACGGGGGACCCUACAGUUUGAUCCUGGGUCCGGGGGACGUUUCUUGGGGGGCCGCCGAGUGUUUCCUUUGUGAGUAAUAUAUCGGAACGUACCCUACAGUGGGGGAUAACGUAGCGAAAGUUACGCUAAUACCGCAUACGAUCUAAGGAUGAAAGUGGGGGAUCGCAAGACCUCAUGCUCGUGGAGCGGCCGAUAUCUGAUUAGCUAGUUGGUAGGGUAAAAGCCUACCAAGGCAUCGAUCAGUAGCUGGUCUGAGAGGACGACCAGCCACACUGGAACUGAGACACGGUCCAGACUCCUACGGGAGGCAGCAGUGGGGAAUUUUGGACAAUGGGCGAAAGCCUGAUCCAGCAAUGCCGCGUGACGCUGAACGAAGGCCUUCCGAGAUGUAAAGCUCCUUCGUCACGAAAGAAACGAUGAGAGCUAAGUUAUUCUUUUUGCUAGAUGAACGGGUACCUGAAAAAAAAAGCCACCGGGCUAACUACCUUGCCCACCAGCCGCGGGAAAUACGUAGGGGGGCAAGCGUUAAUUCCGAAAUUACUCGGGCGGUAAAAGCGUGGCGCCAGGCGGGUUUUUGUAAGUCUGAAUGUGAAAAUCCCCCCGGGCCUCAACCCGGGGGAAUUUUGCAUUGGAAAACCGGCAAGGGGCUAGAAAAUCUGGCAAAAAGGGGGGUAAAAAUUCCACCCUUGGUACCAGUGAAAAUGGCGAAAAUAUGUUGGGAAGGGAACACCCGAAUGGGCAAAGGGCAGCCCCCCCCUUGGGGGUCAAGAAAUUUGACGUCUCUAUGGCACACAAAAAAACGGUGGGGGAGCCAAAAACAGGAGUUAUAGAUAUCCCGCGCGUGUAUGUCUCACGCACCCCUCAUACACGAGAGGUCUCACUAUAGGUGUGGCCGGGGGCUCUCUAAUAUGAGCACUUGGAAAACGACAAACUUUACACGAGUGAGAAGUACAACGCGCCUGGGGAAUAUCCGGUUCGCAAGACUAUAUAGAGCUCAAAGGAAUCUGACGUAGUGUGACCCGAACAGAGGCGCGUGGAUGAUGUGGAUUAAUUCGAUGCAACGCGAAAAACCUUACCUACCCUUCACAUGGCUGGAAUCCUUGAGAGAUCAGGGAGUGCUCGAAAGAGAACCAGUACACAGGUGCUGCAUGGCUGUCGUCAGCUCGUGUCGUGAGAUGUUGGGUUAAGUCCCGCAACGAGCGCAACCCUUGUCAUUAGUUGCUACGAAAGGGCACUCUAAUGAGACUGCCGGUGACAAACCGGAGGAAGGUGGGGAUGACGUCAAGUCCUCAUGGCCCUUAUGGGUAGGGCUUCACACGUCAUACAAUGGUACAUACAGAGCGCCGCCAACCCGCGAGGGGGAGCUAAUCGCAGAAAGUGUAUCGUAGUCCGGAUUGUAGUCUGCAACUCGACUGCAUGAAGUUGGAAUCGCUUGUAAUCGCGGAUCAGCAUGUCGCGGUGAAUACGUUCCCGGGUUUUGUCCCCCCCGCCCGUCACGCCAAGGAGCCCUUUUUCCUUUUCCCCGCCCCCCAAAAUGUCGCACCAGGGUCACAGUAGUUUUCCCCU
rnacentral:rRNA from 1 species